AAUGAACGCUGGCGGCGCGCCUAAUACAUGCAAGUCGAGCGAGAAGACGUAGCAAUACGUUUGUAAAGCGGCGAACGGGUGAGGAAUACAUGGGUAACCUACCCUCGAGUGGGGAAUAACUAGCCGAAAGGUUAGCUAAUACCGCGUACGCUCCUUGGACUUCGGUUCAGGGAGGAAAGCGAUACCGUGGGUAUCGCGCUCUUGGUUGGGCUCAUGUCCUAUCAGCUUGUUGGGAGGUAACGGCUCACCAAGGCUUCGACGGGUAGCUGGUCUGAGAGGACGAUCAGCCACACUGGCACUGCGACACGGGCCAGACUCCUACGGGAGGCAGCAGUAAGGAAUAUUGCGCAAUGGGCGAAAGCCUGACGCAGCGACGCCGCGUGGGGGAUGAAGGUCUUCGGAUUGUAAACCCCUUUCGGGAGGGAAGAUGGAACGAGCAAUCGUUCGGACGGUACCUCCAGAAGCAGCCACGGCUAACUUCGUGCCAGCAGCCGCGGU
rnacentral:rRNA from 1 species